rnacentral:rRNA from 1 species
ACGGGCCCGCACAAGCAGCGGAGCGUGUGGUUUAAUUCGAUGCUACACGAAGAACCUUACCAGGGUUUGACAUGCAAGUGGUAGGAACCGAAAGGUGACCGACCCUUCGGGAGCUUGCACAGGUGCUGCAUGGCUGUCGUCAGCUCGUGUCGUGAGAUGUUCGGUUAAGUCCGCUAACGAGCGCAACCCUCGCUGUGUGUUAUAUGUGUCACACGGGACUGCCGGUCUUAAGCCGGAGGAAGGUGGGGAUGAUGUCAAGUCAGCAUGGCCUUUAUAUCCUGGGCUACACACACGCUACAAUGGCCAGCACAGUAGGUUGCUAAGCCGCGAGGUGGAGCCAAUCCAUAAAGCUGGUCUCAGUUCAGAUUGCAGGCUGCAACCCGCCUGCAUGAAGAUGGAGUUGCUAGUAAACGCAGGUCAGCCAUACUGCGUUGAAUACGUUCCCGGGGCUU